rnacentral:rRNA from 1 species
AGCGAACGCUGGCGGCGUGCUUAACACAUGCAAGUCGAGCGAAGGUGUUUCAAGGGUAACCUUGAGAUACACUUAGCGGCGGACGGGUGAGUAAUACGUGGAUAACUUACCUCUAGGCCUGGGAUAACCCCGGGAAACUGGGGCUAAUACCUGAUAAGACCACAUUGUCUACGGACAAAGGGGUAAAAGGUGGCUGUGCAAACAGCUAUCGCCAAAAGAUAGGUUCACGUCCCAUCAGGCAGUUGGUGAGGUAAUGGCUCACCAAACCAAAGACGGGUAGCCGGCCUUGGCGGGUGAACGGCCACACGGGGGACUGAGACACGGCCCCGACUCCUACGGGAGGCAGCAGUGGGGAAUAUUGGGCAAUGGGCGCAAGCCUGACCCAGCGACGUCGCGUU